CACGUAGGGGGCAAGCGUUGUCCGGAUUUAUUGGGCGUAAAGAGCUCGUAGGUGGUUCGGUAAGUCGGGUGUUAAACCCCCAGGCUCAACCUGGGGACGCCACUCGAUACUGCUGUGACUAGAGUCCGGUAGGGGAGCGUGGAAUUCCUGGUGUAGCGGUGAAAUGCGCAGAUAUCAGGAGGAACACCGGUGGCGAAGGCGGUUCUCUGGGCAUUACCUGACGCUGAGGAGCGAAAGUGUGGGGAGCGAACAGG
rnacentral:rRNA from 1 species